rnacentral:rRNA from 1 species
GAUGAACGCUGGCGGCGUGCCUAAUACAUGCAAGUCGAGCGAACGGACGAGAAGCUUGCUUUUCUGAUGUUAGCGGCGGACGGGUGAGUAACACGUGGAUAACCUACCUAUAAGACUGGGAUAACUUCGGGAAACCGGAGCUAAUACCGGAUAAUAUUUUGAACCGCAUGGUUCAAAAGUGAAAGACGGUCUUGCUGUCACUUAUAGAUGUAUCCGCGCUGCAUUAGCUAGUUGGUAAGGUAACGGCUUACAAAGGCAACGAUGAAUAGCCGACCGGAGAGGGUGAUCGGCCACACUGGAACUGAGACACGGUCCAGACUCCUACGGGAGGCAGCAGAAGGGAAUCUUCCGCAAUGGGCGAAAGCCUGACGGAGCAACGCCGCGUGAGUGAUGAAGGUCUUCGGAUCGUAAAACUCUGUUAUUAGGGAAGAACAUAUGUGUAAGUAACUGUGCACAUCUUGACGGUACCUAAUCAGAAAGCCACGGCUAACUACGUG